CUAAACUACCAGCCCCCGUUUGUAACUCAGGCUCUCUGUUAUAAAUUUGUAGUCUCUAGGCCUAAACGGAG